rnacentral:rRNA from 1 species
UACGGAGGGGGCUAGCGUUGUUCGGAAUUACUGGGCGUAAAGCGCGCGUAGGCGGAUUGUUAAGUCAGGGGUGAAAUCCUGGAGCUCAACUCCAGAACUGCCUUUGAUACUGGCGAUCUUGAGUCCGGGAGAGGUGAGUGGAACUGCGAGUGUAGAGGUGAAAUUCGUAGAUAUUCGCAAGAACACCAGUGGCGAAGGCGACUCUCUGGUCUGUAACUGACGCUGAGGAGCGAAAGCGUGGGGAGCAAACAGG